ACCAAGGUCGACCUCAGAUCAGGUAGGAAUACCCGCUGAACUUAAGCAUAUCAAUAAGCGGAGGAAAAGAAACAACAGGGAUUGCCUCAGUAACGGCGAGUGAAGCGGCAACAGCUCAAAUUUGAAAUCUGGCCUCUGGCCCGAGUUGUAAUUUGCAGAGGAUGUUUCUGGCGAGGUGCCUUCCGAGUUCCCUGGAACGGGACGCCAUAGAGGGUGAGAGCCCCGUACGGUUGGUCGCUAAGCCUCUGUGAAACUCCUUCGACGAGUCGAGUAGUUUGGGAAUGCUGCUCUAAAUGGGAGGUGUACGCCUUCUAAAGCUAAAUAUAGGCUAGAGACCGAUAGCGCACAAGUAGAGUGAUCGAAAGAUGAAAAGCACUUUGAAAAGAGGGUUAAAUAGUACGUGAAAUUGUUGAAAGGGAAGCGCUCUUGACCAGACUUGCGCCGGUUGAUCAUCCACCGUUCUCGGUGGUGCACUCUGCCGGCUCAGGCCAGCAUCAGUUCGGCUUGGGGGAUAAAGGCUUCGGGAAUGUGGCUCUCUCCGGGGAGUGUUAUAGCCCGUUGCGUAAUACCUGGGCCGGACUGAGGUUCGCGCAUCUGCAUGGAUGCUGGCGUAAUGGUCAUCAGUGACCCGUCUUGAAACACGGACCAAGGAGUCGUCUUCGUAUGCGAGUGUUCGGGUGUCAAACCCCUACGCGUAAUGAAAGUGAACGUAGGAGAGAGCUUCGGCGCAUCUCCGACCGAUCCUGAUGUUCUCGGAUGGAUUUGAGUAAGAGCAUAGCGGGGCCGGACCCGAAAGAAGGUGAACUAUGCCUGUAUAGGGUGAAGCCAGAGGAAACUCUGGUGGAGGCUCGCAGCGGUUCUGACGUGCAAAUCGAUCGUCAAAUAUGGG
rnacentral:rRNA from 1 species